rnacentral:rRNA from 1 species
UACGGAGGGUGCAAGCGUUAAUCGGAAUUACUGGGCGUAAAGCGCAUGCAGGCGGUCUGUUAAGCAAGAUGUGAAAGCCCGGGGCUCAACCUCGGAAUAGCAUUUGAAACUGGCAGACUAGAGUACUGUAGAGGGGGGUAGAAUUUCAGGUGUAGCGGUGAAAUGCGUAGAGAUCUGAAGGAAUACCAGUGGCGAAGGCGGCCCCCUGGACAAAGACUGACGCUCAGAUGCGAAAGCGUGGGGAGCGAACAGG